rnacentral:rRNA from 1 species
UUUUUUAAAGAAGCUUAUUUAGUUAAGUCUGAACUCGUCAGAUCUCAGAAGCCAAGCAGAGCCGGGCCUGGUUGGUACCUAGAUGGGAAACUGCCGAGACACUGGUAGCAUAAC